CACACUUUCUUACAACAACAGCCACUGUGUUGGCUGGAGAGGGAUGGGGUGGGCCCAACGGAGACACAAGGAGGUAGAGGAGCUAACCCCUCUACUCCACUUUCAAAACUACAUUUUAAAGGGAAUGUGUAUGUGAAGAGCACUACCAACAUCGCUUUUGUUUUAAGUUUUCCUUUUUGCUUGUUUUUAAAGCCAAAACAAAAAACAACCAAGCACUCUUCCAUAUAUAAAUCUGGCUGUAUUCAGUAGCAAUACAAAAGAUAUGUAGAAAGACUCUUUGGUUCACAUUCCAAUAUUAAAAUAGUGACACGAACUGGCAAAGUGGUUUUAAAAGCUUUCACAUGGGAUAAAUGAUUUUCUUUCUUUCUUUUCUUUCUUCGUAUGGUCUUGUCAGAAUAAACUACUAUCUUGAAUAAAACAACAUCCAACCCAGGUCAUUGAAAUGAAAUUGGCCAGUCAAAAAAAAAAAAAAAGACUUCAAUCAUUUAAAAAAUUCCUAAUUUUCAGAAAUAUGAAUAAAUGGUUUUUGUUAAACCCUUUGUAAAAUACUGAGGUUCCCAUUAACAAAUUAUGGCUUCUGCUUGCUGGAAAUGAAGUAUAGUUUAAGACCAAACAUUUUACUAAUAAGCAAAUUUUAAGUACAUAUAUAACUUGAACUUCAUAAAUGUGAAGAUUACCACUUCUUUUUAUGGCCAGUCCUUACC
rnacentral:lncRNA from 1 species